AUUGAACGCUGGCGGCAGGCUUAACACAUGCAAGUCGAACGAGUGGCGGACGGGUGAGUAAUGCUUGGGAAUCGAGCUUAUGGAGGGGGAUAACUACGGGAAACUGUAGCUAAUACCGCGUACAAUAGGAUGAGCCCAAGUGGGCUUAGGUAGUUGGUGAGGUAAAGGGUCACCAAGCCGACGAUCUCUAGCUGGUCUGAGAGGAUGACCAGCCAACCUGGGACUGAGCGACGGCCCAGACGCCUACGGGAGGCAGCAGUGGGGAAGAUGGCGCAAUGGGAGAAACCUGACGGAGCCAUGCCGCGGGAAUGAAGAAGGCCUUCGGGUUGUAAAGUUCUUUCGGUAGCGAGGCGUUAACGACAGAAGAAGCACCGGCUAACUCCGUGCCAGCAGCCGCGGUAAUUC
rnacentral:rRNA from 1 species